CAGUAGCCGCGGUAAUACGUAGGUGGCAAGCGUUGUCCGGAAUUAUUGGGCGUAGAGGGCUCGCAGGCGGUUUCUUAAGUCUGAUGUGAAAGCCCCCGGCUCAACCGGGGAGGGUCAUUGGAAACUGGGAAACUUGAGUACAGAAGAGGAGAGUGGAAUUCCACGUGUAGCGGUGAAAUGCGUAGAGAUGUGGAGGAACACCAGUGGCGAAGGCGACUCUCUGGUCUGUAACUGACGCUGAGGAGCGAAAGCGUGGGGAGCGAACAGGAUUAGAUACCCCAGUAGUCCCUGUCUCUUAUAC
rnacentral:rRNA from 1 species